CCACAUAUGACAUGCAAGAGAACAGGGUUUGGCUUUAAAAUUUUACGGGAUGUGAACACAACUCUCUCGGGUGAAAGUCCAUGUUUUUUGGACCCAUCCAACACCCCUCCAGUGUGCCUCACUUGGACUUUUGCUGCCUUGACUUUUGUCCUUGUCCCGCUGUGUUUCCCCCUGACACUGCUGGGCGCCAUUAAGGGUAUCAACUCUGUGACAGCCAUGCGCUCUGCUGAAGCUACUUGCUUGAGAAAACUUUGACACAGAGGUGUAAGAUUACUGUAAUGCCCUGCUGUCUGGUCUUCCCAAAAAGACCAUCUCUAACCUGCAGCUACUCCAAAACUCAGCCACACAAGGACCAGAGGGCGGGAGCACAUUUCACCAGUUUUACAAUCGCUGCAUUGGCUCCCCGUGUGUUUCAGGAUCGAUUUUAAGGUUCUUUUAUUAGUUUUUAAAUGUCUUAACGGCCUUGGGCCAUCUUAUUUAUCUGACCUGCUUUUAUCAUAUCAACCCUCGCGGAUCCUGAGGUCCUCCGGCACCGGCCUUUUAAUUGUUCCAAGAGUUAGAACAAAAACCCACGGGGAGGCUGCAUUCAGCCAUUAUGGCCCUCACUUAUGGAACAGCCUGCCAGAGAGCAUCAGGACUGCAGAGACUGUUGAUGUUUUUAAAAGGAGGCUCAAGACUCACCUUUUUAAUUUAGCUUUUAACUGAUUUCUUUUACUCUUUUAAUUCUUCUAUUAUAUGUUCUUUUUACUUUCUAAUGCUUUUAAAUGAUUUAUUUUUAAAUCUUUAUGCAUUUUAGUUUCUAAA